rnacentral:rRNA from 1 species
AACGAACGCUGGCGGCAUGCCUAACACAUGCAAGUCGAACGAGACCUUCGGGUCUAGUGGCGCACGGGUGCGUAACGCGUGGGAACCUGCCCUUAGGUUCGGAAUAACUCCCCGAAAGGGGUGCUAAUACCGGAUAAUGUCUUCGGACCAAAGAUUUAUCGCCUUUGGAUGGGCCCGCGUUGGAUUAGCUAGUUGGUAGGGUAAAAGCCUACCAAGGCGACGAUCCAUAGCUGGUCUGAGAGGAUGAUCAGCCACACUGGGACUGAGACACGGCCCAGACUCCUACGGGAGGCAGCAGUGGGGAAUAUUGGACAAUGGGCGAAAGCCUGAUCCAGCAAUGCCGCGUGAGUGAUGAAGGCCUUAGGGUUGUAAAGCUCUUUUACCCGGGAUGAUAAUGACAGUACCGGGAGAAUAAGCUUCGGCUAACUCCGUG